UACGGGGGGGGCAAGCGUUGUUCGGAAUUACUGGGCGUAAAGGGCUCGUAGGCGGCCAACUAAGUCAUACGUGAAAUCCCUCGGCUUAACCGGGGAACUGCGUCUGAUACUGGAUGGCUUGAGAUUGGGAGAGGGAUGCGGAAUUCCAGGUGUAGCGGUGAAAUGCGUAGAUAUCUGGAGGAACACCGGUGGCGAAGGCGGCGACCUGGGUAGAUACUGACGCUGAGACGCGAAAGCGUGGGUAGCAAACAGG
rnacentral:rRNA from 1 species